UGAGUCAGUAGGAGAUCAAAUUCAGGCAUGCUGAGAUAAUCCACUUCUGGCUGGAAUUCCUUCAGAACAUGACCUAGGAGAGUGGUAGAGAGUGCCUCCAUGAAUCCCAUAUGUAGAAUGGAAACUUGGAUAAUGAACACCUGCAAUAUAUGCAGAGUCAGUUGCAACUUAGGAAUCUUUCAAAUCUCCUAAAUGCAAUCUCCCAUAGCUCCCCAUCCACGGUCCCUCUCAUGGUAUGUUGUCAUCCUCCCACCCUAUGGUGAGGGAUGUUAGUAAGCUGA
rnacentral:lncRNA from 1 species